AAUAAAUAAGGGAUGCUAAAUAGUCUACAACGAUAUAAUAACCACCAAAACGACAUAAUAACCAUCGAAAACAAAACGACCUAGGUGUUGGUGGCCCUGGUGUAGAUCUGCUGGCUGGCAUGAGCAGAAACCAUCCUAAUCGCCCCUCUGGCCAUCAAGUCCCUUAUGGCCUUCCUCGCCAGAGACCCAUUGAUCCUGAGACGGUCGGAGAGAAUGGAGGGUGUGAUG
rnacentral:lncRNA from 1 species